GACGAACGCUGGCGGCGUGCUUAACACAUGCAAGUCGGACGGAAAGGCCCUGCUUUUGUGGGGUGCUCGAGUGGCGAACGGGUGAGUAACACGUGAGUAACCUGCCCUUGACUUUGGGAUAACUUCAGGAAACUGGGGCUAAUACCGGAUAGGAGCUCCUGCUGCAUGGUGGGGGUUGGAAAGUUUCGGCGGUUGGGGAUGGACUCGCGGCUUAUCAGCUUGUUGGUGGGGUAGUGGCUUACCAAGGCUUUGACGGGUAGCCGGCCUGAGAGGGUGACCGGCCGCAUUGGGACUGAGAUACGGCCCAGACUCCUACGGGAGGCAGCAGUGGGGAAUAUUGCACAAUGGGCGGAAGCCUGAUGCAGCAACGCCGCGUGCGGGAUGACGGCCUUCGGGUUGUAAACCGCUUUCGCCUGUGACGAAGCGUGAGUGACGGUAAUGGGUAAAGAAGCACCGGCUAACUACGUG
rnacentral:rRNA from 1 species